AGUGAACGCUGGCGGUAGGCCUAACACAUGCAAGUCGAACGGCAGCACAGUAAGAGCUUGCUCUUACGGGUGGCGAGUGGCGGACGGGUGAGGAAUACAUCGGAAUCUACUUUUUCGUGGGGGAUAACGUAGGGAAACUUACGCUAAUACCGCAUACGACCUACGGGUGAAAGCAGGGGAUCUUCGGACCUUGCGCGAUUGAAUGAGCCGAUGUCGGAUUAGCUAGUUGGCGGGGUGAAGGCCCACCAAGGCGACGAUCCGUAGCUGGUCUGAGAGGAUGAUCAGCCACACUGGAACUGAGACACGGUCCAGACUCCUACGGGAGGCAGCAGUGGGGAAUAUUGGACAAUGGGCGCAAGCCUGAUCCAGCCAUCCCGCGUGGGUGAAGAAGGCCUUCGGGUUGUAAAGCCCUUUUGUGGGGAAAGAAAAGCAGCAGGUUAAUACCCCGCUGUUCUGACGGUACCCAAAGAAUAAGCACCGGCUAACUUCGUG
rnacentral:rRNA from 1 species